GAGCACAGCCUGGCUUGUGUCAUGGGCCACACAACUCUUCCAUUAUGCAUGAGGGAGACCCAGCGGUGAGCGAGUGAGCAAGCCGGCCGAGGGAGGGGUUGAUUGACUUAUGUGCAAUUUGGGACGCUGGAGUUUACCUUCCCUCCGCAGCCUGCAACAGAGCCUCCUCUGGUGUUGCAAGGAAGAGGCUGAAUGAGGCAGAGAAGCUAAGCUCUGUCCAGGAGGCCCAGUUAAAGCGGCUCGAGGUGACAAGACCCCGAGUGCUGGGGAGCAGGGAGCGGGGCCAGGUGCCGAGGAUGGCCAGGCAGCCACCGCCGCCCUGGGUCCAUGCAGCCUUCCUCCUCUGCCUCCUCAGUCUUGGCGGAGCCAUCGAAAUUCCUAUGGAUCGUCCUCUGUGGUCUUGACUUGCCCAUGAAAGCAGUCCAGGGUCAAGUGUGGUGGAGCAGUUCUUACUUGCCUUUCUAAUGUCUGAUAUAUUCAAAUCCACACCCUUCGGGCCCUCUUGGCUGGAGUAAUCAGGAGGACACAGGCCUGGGAAGGGCUGGGAGCAGAAUUAUCUUUGCAAAAGACAUGGCUAAAUGACACAUUAAAAUAGAGCCCCAUUAUCAUGCCGCAUAGGAGAACCAGGCAUGGAUUCCUUCUCAUUGUUUUCAACUUUCCCGCAGUAAAGAUAAAAAGUAAAA
rnacentral:sRNA from 1 species